CUUCUCCGCCGGAAGAGCUUUUCGCUUCCUGUCAGAGAAGCAACUUUUUCGUGGAGAGAGAUGGCGGAGAAGUCGAAUGCGUCCUUGACUUACCCGCUACUGGAACUCGUGAAUUCAGAUCCAGAUUGUUCGUCGCAAAAGGUUUUCAGUUUGGCUGACCAGAAGGUGCAUGAUAUUACCCCGGCAAAGUCGAGCGAGAAGAUAUACUUGACGACGCCGCAGGGCUGGGUCCUCGUCCAGAGCUGUUCCAACUCUUCGUCGGAAGAUCCAGGAACCUACCUACUGAAUCCCCAGGACGGAUCAAGAAUCGAGCUUCCAACUCUCAGAGACGACGAUGUGCUCCGGGAGAACUGCAGGUGCAUCUUGUCCGACCGCGUGGCCGGCUGUGGCGUCCUCGUCUUCGACAUGCAGAGCCCCGUGAAGUGGUUCUGCCGCGUUGGCGUUGGUGAGGGUUGCUGUUGGUCCAGACAUGGCUACGACAUUGGCUGCUACGACCUUCCGGUGGAGUACUGUCCGAUCCCCAAGAAAAAGAACUUGUUCGACAUUGCAGCUGUCAACGGGAGCUUCUUCUUCUUCGACUGGAACGGCUCCCUCGGGCCGCAGGUUUCAUCCAUCCAGAUUUUAUACCGCUGGCGGUCUGGCCCAACAUGACUCACCUUAAGGCCCAGUUAGAAUUCCCGGUCGCCCGACGGAUAAAUAUCUCCCUAUAUUUAUUCCCUUGUUAGUUUCGUCCGGAUCCCGUCCCCUUCCUCCAAACCAAAAAUUAGGGAUCUCCAAAACGGACCCCUCCAAGACUAUGGCGUCGACGGUGCUCCGAUCCGGCUGCCGCGCGUUCAGCCGGUCCGUCCCGCGCGUGCUCGACGAGAAGCAUCGGCUCAUGCCGCCGUCGUUGAUGCACACUCAGCGCUUCUUCAGCUCCGAUGGGAUUGAACCGAUCAAGAGGUCGAUGUCUCGUGAUGAACGCAUUAUUUAUAUGGAACUAGAUAGAAUGGAAAAAAUCCUGAUUAAAAAUGGAGAAAGGCUAGAAAAAAUCAGACUGAAGGACGAGCAUGAUGCUAUGUAUGCUGAACGUAGGCUUGCGGGUAUAGGUGCUAUCAUCGUCGUCUCUGGGAUCGCAGGCCUUUCCUUUUGUGUUAAUAAAGUUAAGAAAGUAGUACUCCCUUCGUCCCAUAUUAAGUGAUGAAGUAUUACAUGUAUCUAGACGCUUGUUGGGUUUGCAAAUUUGAGUCACUUAAUAUGAGACAGUUUAGUUUGAUUUGUUUAGACAAGGUUUGAGUGAUGGCUACUCUGUUGGUAUGUGUUUUAUGUGAUGCAAAAUCACAAUUACUAUAAGCAAGUGCAUCUGAACGUGACUGUGAGUAUGCACGUGCACGCACGUCUUGGAUUGUUUGAUUUUUUUGUACAUAUUCAAAAUUGUUUCUGCAGCAAAAGAGCAUGAUUCUGAGUGCAGCUUGUGUAAAGAUACGCUUAUUACCUACUCCCACUGAUACUAAAUUUUUAUUGUUGUCUUAGUGCAAGUUUGAACUAAAACAACGGCAACAAUUUAGGAUCGGAGGGAUUAUCAAAAUCGCUAUGUUGUCAAUUUCAUUCAGAAAACUUAAUUAUUGCCGGUACCAAGGAAUAUAGGGAAUUAAGAGUUGGACAAACAGGAGUUUAAGCCUCGACAAAUUUAGCGGCAGAAGACAUCCCUACGAUCGUUGUCUCCUUCGAGUGAAGAGAGAAACACAUCUCAAGUGUCGCAGACAAGUCUUUAACUGAAACUGGCAACCAUCAUGACCGGAUAAAACAUACCCAUGACAGAGACCCCACCUAAAAAAAGCUGUCAAACAUUGAAACAAGUACACGUCGAUGGGAGGGUACCGUCGUCGAUCGCUGUUGAUUUCUGUCGUGGGGCGUGUUGCGCUGGCGUCCUGUACAUGUGGGUCCUUCUUUCGGUACGUGCUGCAGGCUUGCAGCUGCGCCUCGCGUCCGAUUAGUACCGCAGUACAACUCACCUCCCCAGGUACUCCUUUCGUUCCAUAUUAAGUGUCGAAAUAUUACAUGUAUCUAGACAACCCGUCUCACGUCCUGUGGGUCCUUUCGGUACCUGGAUUUGUGUUUUUUGUUCUUUCUUUCUUGAGUAGGGAUCUGGUCGAGCUAACUACACGUCUAAAGGAAUUUUCACUGGAAGAUUGUUGCAUUUGUUUUCUUCUCUCCGUUCUGCUGUCAAAUCCAAGAUUUAGUUCAGAACAGUGCAAAAAGCAUGUAUGUUAGGCUCACGGGCAUAAUCUGCACUUCUCCAUGUAAAGGUAGUUGAUCCUGCACCAUAGGGACUCCAAUUUCUGCCUGUUCAUGCCUCUCUACAAGACUAGGACCUCCUCGGCGGCACCCUCAACUCCAACUCUUGGGAGCUAUAGAAGGAUACUUGCCUAGGUACAUCCAUCAAUCUCAAGUUCAAUUAUCUUGGAAACCCUAGCCUUUCUUUCUUCUUUAUUAUUGGAUGCAAUUAAUCCACGAAGCUCUGUGUAGGUCAGUAGGUGCAGCUGAUCCACUUCGUGAAAUAGCUCAUGUUACAUCUGAAUCUGACAUGCUAGCUUAGCUGUAACAGCUACCCAUUUCAGUUAAAAUGUGUACAUAGGUUGCAAAUCCUGUCAGCCUUCUAGAGAUGACUAUAUCAUGUAUGAGGUUCACACAAUCCCUGCAUGUUGAUCUGCUGGUUAGUACAUGGAAAACCAACUUCUGCUCCUUUUAUAUGAUUUCAUUAACAGUCCAUCCCUGAUUCCGGUGUUUCUGUACUUGCACAUGCAGCCACCUUAUAAUUCUUAUGUAGCUUCCCCUUUCCUGACCAUAACAAUUAAUUUCUUAAACAACUGUGAUGGCUUCUGUUCGUCUCAACCUUUUAAGUGUCGUGUUUCAAUUAUUCAUGUAGCAGCAGCAUUUUAAAUGAAGAUUGAGGCCACACCUGAUGGACCUAGAGGAUUUCAUCAAUUUGCAGCCUAUCCUAUACAAGGCAAUACAUUCUGCAAUAUUCUUUUGGAACUAGAAAAAGAUAUGUGAGUAGUGGAAUCUGUUAUUUUCGGAAGUAAAACACGUAUCUGCCAAUCAAUGGCCGGUUCAUGAAUUCAAUUGGUUUAAGGAUCGUUGUGGCAAUUGAUUCCUGGGAGAUUAUAUUUGUGAAGGUCUUCUGGGGACUGGAUAAGAAGCUGGCACAAAGGAAGCAUUUCCCAUCUGUUGAUUGGCUCAUAGCUUACUCAAAAUACUCCACGGUUGUUCUCUAACGUACUUAGGAUUCCAAUGCUAAGUUACUGUCUCAAUUCUCUGUGCUAAAACAAAUCAGAUAAAAAGAAAACCGGCAGAUUUUGUAGAAGUUGCAAUAUUUCAAAACUUCAAUAUGCCGAGUUCCGUAGGACAGAUUGCAUGGACUCUAAAUGAUGUAUAACAGUCAUUUUGUGCAUGAACUAAAGUUGCAUGUCAUUUUUACUUUAAUAGAUAGAAAAUAUUGUUUCCUCUAUAGGUUUGCUGGUAUUGCUCGACUGACCAUGUUCUCAUGAUACUUGGCUACAUAUUAAGUUAUGGAAGUAAACAAAUAAUGAAGACUAAGAGACAUUAAUCUGUGUUCAUCUGCUUUAAGAGGGAGUAGCAUAAGUAAGUCCUUUCCUAUUGUGAUUUUGUUUUCAAAUCAUCAUUGAUUCAGUGAUACCGAACCAAAUUAUAUAUUUUUAACAUCAUAUAUAUCAGGUUGGUGCAUGUCCAUUAUCUUCAUGUCAAGCAGUUAUUGUGGCAUUUCUUCGUUAUUCUCCUGUAUAGCUGCGAUUAUCAAUGAUCUCUCUCUCUCUCUCUCUCUCGAUUUUGCUUUGCAGGUUUAAUAAAGUGUUGACUAAUUCAAAUCAAACCAUAUUUGGAUAGUGGAAACUGGAGAAACAUAAGAUCAUAUAUCUAGAGAAAUAAUACUUCCGGAAGUCAUAUUUGAUACGGGCUUUGAAAAAUAUCUGCAGUCAACAUGAAUAGAGCCGGCCUAUCUGAAUUUAUUUGGACCUCAGGUUUAAUAAAGUGUUGACUAAUUCAAAUCAAACCAUAUUUGGAUAGUGGAAACUGUAGAAACAUAAGCUGCAGGACAUCUUCUCGCAGCUGGGGAGCUCAGCCGGGGAGCUCCACAAUCGACCAGCCGCAGGUCAUGGUGGUGUGGAGCCAGAGUAGCGUCAAGUCCACCGUCCCCGAGGCUCUCGUCAGCCGCAAUUUCCUCCCACACGGCUCCGACAUCUGCACGCGCCGCCCCCUCGUGCUCCAGCUCGUGCAUCAGCCGCGCCGCCCAGCCGAUGCCUAGGCUGACGAGUGGGGCGAGUUCCUGCACCUACCCGGAUGCAGCUCCUUCGACUUCCGUGAAAACCGCCACGAGAUCCAGGUUCCGGGAAGAAUGUGUGCCCAUCAUUGGCAUGAGGUUUCGGAUGUUUUUUCAUUGGCUAUCGGUGUGUUCUGUAUCUGCAAAGAAAGGGGAAAUUCUGUUGUUGCGUUUUUUCAUCGGUGGGGGCAUGUGUUUGGAGGUGCUUUUUAUCAGUACCUUAUGUUUGCUAUUUUAAAGGUCCAACACAAUCAGCAGGGUAUUUUGAAUAUGAUGACCUUGAUGAGUCAAUUGUCCGAAAUCCACUGCCCAGCACGAGGUCCGAGUACACGGUGGACGUAACUACCACUACUACGUCGACGACUCCUCGGCGCUGGUCGUCAUGGACAGCCAGAUUGAGAAGUUCCGCAAGAAGUGGGGGCACGUCAAAGAGUACUGGACCAAGGAGCAAUGGCUGGAGAUGCACCCUGACGGCGACCCGGAGUUCGAGUCCGACGGCUGUUAUGUCGCUUUAGAGAUGUUUUGGUGUAAUGAAGUCGCUUUAGUCCAUUAGCCGUCGCUGUGCAGGUUAUAUAAAGUCUCUGCUUUUUAAUCAUGCUCACUGCGCAAGUAAUAGUAAUAUAAAUGACGGCUGUUAUGUCGCUGCAGAGAUUGAUCACUGUACAACUAUACAUUACAGCACCACAGUUCAACUUACAUUUACCUGCUGAUACAAGACAAAUGAACGCAUAGGUUGACCUA